GUACAGCACAUAUACUAAAACUGGAACGAUAAAGAUUAGCAUGCCCUGUGCAAGGAAGACACGCAAAUUCAUGAAGUGUUCCAUAUUAAA
ensembl:snRNA U6 U6 spliceosomal RNA